rnacentral:tRNA from 1 species
GCCUGGUUAGCUCAGUUGGUAGAGCGCUCCACCUGUAAUGGAGAGGUCCCGGGUUCGAUACCCGGACCAGGCG